CCCGUGGGUCCCAAGCCGCCAUGGGUACGUGUCGCCCCUCCACUCGAGUCCCGACCCAACUCUCUUGUUCCACGGUGAUCCGCUCCUCAGCCCCCAGUUCGUCCCGCCGCUCGCCCCCGCCUCCCGGGCGAAGCACCCGACCGUCCCCUGCCUUCCGACUCUACCCGCACUUCCCCGUCGAUCACGAUCCACCGUUCUAGGAUUCCCCCCAAAAAAAAAUUUCCUUCCCGCUCUCAGAUUCUUCAAAAAGCUUAGAUUUUUUUCAAGGUAGGGUUUCGAUUCCGUUCGAUCUCCCUCGAAUUCCACCCCCAUGGUGCUGAUCUCUGAGAUCACGGAGGAGGCAGCGAAGAAGGAGGGUGAGCCGAAGGAAGGAGAUGGAGAGCCGGAAGAGGAGGGCCCCCCUGAAGAAAGAGCUGAAACGGAGGAGAGACCUCAAGAGCCGGCGGCGAUCGAUCCAGGCGAGUUGGCCCCGCCAUCGGCUGAGGACCCCAAGGAGGAUGGCCCGCCGCCGGCCGGGAAGAUGCUCCAUAACGAGUACGCCCUCCGGGUGGCCUACAUCAUGCGGAACUACCUCUACAUGCGGCAGGGAGGGGCCGCAGCGUCCGGCGCCACCGGCGGCGGGGCGGCGGGGGAGGAGAGGUGCCGGGCGAUGAUGGAGGUGGUAAGGAAGGAGAGCGGGAGGUGGGCUGUGUCAAGAGUCGUGUUGGAGCACACCCACCAGCUCGAGCCGCCACCGGACCCUGCCGGAGCGCUCGCCGGCGGCGGGCUGGUGCCGAGGGUCGACAUGGAGUUCGAUUCCAUCUCGGCGGCGAAGGCAUACUAUAGUACUUACGGUGAGAAGAUGGGGUUCAAGGCACAGUCGGGCUCCGGGAAGCGGUCGAGGGGUAAUCGGAUUUUAAUCAUGCAGAGGUUCUUAUGCUCGAAGGGGAGUUACCCUCCCUAUGGAAAUGCUGCCGAUGGUGCUGCGAGGAAGAGGAAGCGUGGUCCUUAUAAGAAGAGAGCCCAAAAAGAUGCAAAAGAAGCUCAGAAACAUGGUGAGGUGGUAGAGGUAAUCCAGGUUGAGAGCUCGACCGAGAGGGCAGGGGCAGUGGGUGAUGAGCAUGGCGGGGAGGUCCAGAGUGGUCAGCUGAAAAAAGGAGCAGUUUUGGCGGAGAAGGAUAUGAUGCCAAAAGAACCAGCAACAGAGAUCAAUUCAAGAAAGGACUCAGCUGCAGUUGGCAAGGGGCAGGAUGGUGGGAAGGUACCUUUGGUAUCGAAUCCAGCUCAAUCUCGGUUGCUGAGAGAGCUUGGGAUACGAGUGUCUCGUUACACCCAUGAGGAGAGGAGGGAUAUAAUUCUCAAGUACAUGCAGAAGAGGAGCAAUAGACAAGCUGUGGAUAGAUCCAUUAAGAUUCCUUCCCGGCAAGCUUUGGCAGAAAGAAGGCAGCGAGGUGUUGGAGGGAAAUUUCUUAGUAAAGAAGAGAUGCAGACCUUGAAUAGACAGGAGGAACAGGCAGAAGAAGAACCAGAAUUGCCUGAAGAAGUUGUUGCAAAUGCUGGAGGAGUGCCAAUAGUUGGUAUGGUGUUUGAAAAUGAAGAUAAAGCUUAUGAGUAUUACGUCAAGUAUGCUGGAGGUCUAGGUUUCAGCGUCCGGAAAGGUUGGUGGGAUAGAUCUGCCAGAAAUGUUACAAGAUCAAGGGUGUAUGUAUGUUCAAGAGAGGGAUUUCGCCCAAAGAAUGAAGCAAAGAGACCUAGACCAGAGACAAGAACUGGUUGCCUUUCACGGAUGGCUAUCAAAAUCACAUCGAGCGGUAAAUAUCGUGUGACUGAAUUUGUGCCUGACCAUAACCAUCAGCUUGCAACCCCAUUAGAUAUUCAGAUGUUAAAAUCUCAGAAGCUGUUAACAAAGGUUCAACCUAGAGUUUGCCAAACGGCUUGUCUGAUUCCUUCUGGAUAUAAAAAUUAUCUGCGAGUGAAGCGUGCAAAGGACAUGCAGGUAGGAGAUGCAGGAGCCUUGUUGGAAUACUUACAGAAGAUGAAAGGUGAUAAUCCUUCUUUCUAUUAUGCCAUUCAAGUUGAUGAAUAUGAUCAAAUGACAAAUGUCUUUUGGGCGGAUGCAAAGUCCAUGAUAGAUUAUCAUUAUUUUGGUGAUGUGGUAUGUUUCGACACAAGCUAUAGAGCAAAUGAUUAUGGUAGGCCAUUUGCUCUAUUCAUUGGCAUGAAUCAUCAUAAGCAAACUGUUAUCUUUGGUGCAGCAUUUCUGUAUGAUGAAACUGUGGAAUCUUUUAAGUGGUUGUUCGAGACAUUCAAAACUGCAAUGAGUGGAAAACAACCAAAAACAAUAUUGACUGAUCGAUGUGCAGUUAUAAGUGAUGCGAUAGCUGCUGUGUGGCCAGGUACGACCCAUCAUUUUUGUGGGUGGCAAAUAUACCAAAAUGCUGUCAAGCACUUGGCCCGUGUCUUUGAAGGUUCUGAAAAUUUUGCGCAUGAUUUCAGCCGAUGUAUUUAUGAUUUUGAGGAUGAGGAGGAGUUCCUUGCAGCAUGGAACUCUAUGCUAGAGAAGUACAAUCUCAAAGAUAAUGAAUGGUUGACUAAACUAUAUGAGGAAAGGGAGAAAUGGGCUUUGGCAUAUAGCCGGCAUGUAUUCUGUGCAGACAUAAAGGGUACAUUACGAGAGGAAACUUUAAGUAAUGUGCUAAAGGAAUAUUUGAACUCAGAAAAAGAUCUUUCGCUAUUCUUUAAACUAUAUGAGAUGUUAGUAGAGGAACGACGAUAUGCAGAAGUACAAGCUGAUUAUCAUGCAAAUCAAGGUACUCCUAGAAUACCUCCUUUGAGGUUGUUGUGGCAGGCUGCAAAUGCAUACACACCUGCAGUGUUUGAAAUGUUCAGAAGGGAGUUUGAAUUGUUCAUGGAUUGCAUGGUUUAUAGUUGUGGUGAGGUUGGAACAUUGUCUGAUUAUGAGGCUACUGUCAAGGAUAAAACUAAAGAGUACUUUCUUAGGUUUGACUCAUCAGAUGGUUCUGUCAUAUGUAGCUGCAGAAAAUUCGAGCGUGUUGGGAUUCAGUGUUGUCAUGUACUGAAAGUACUUGAUUUUAGAAAUAUUAAAGAGCUCCCACCACAAUAUAUUUUAAAGAGGUGGAGAAAGGAUGCUAAAGCUGGAAGCAUGAGAGAGAGUCAUGGGUUUAUUCUUGAUGGUGACCCUAAAACAUCUCAAUCAAAUCGUUAUAGCUCUCUUUGCCGGAUAUUAUAUAAAAUUGCAGCAAGGGCUGCAGUGAAUGAGGACACAUUUACAUUAAUGGUCAACCAAUCAGAUCACCUUCUAGAACAAGUUGAGCAAAUUUUGCAAACAAGGCUUCUUGAAAAACCACCCAUUGCUAAUGCCCCGAGGGGUCAACAUAGCAAUCUGAUUGAGAGUGGAGAUGUACACCAUGACAGAAACAACGAAACCCAAAAGGUUAGUGGGAGAAAGAGGAAUAAUGGAGGCGUACGCCGCAGACAUCAAAGUGAGCAGGAGAUAAACAACAGGCAAAAAGUCAGAAAAGGUCAACCUGAGGAGGCAGAAGUUGCACCAAGGGACAAUGAACCUCAUGUAGCACCAAACACCAUUCCCUCUCAACCAAGAAAUCCUUCUAAUCAGUUCCUUGCACCAAAUCAUUUUAUGCAGGGUCCUUACGUAACUGCUCAUCAAUUUGGACUUGGCACAACCCAAGGCUUUCAUCCCAUGACCCAAUUUGGUCAGGAUUCUCCAGCUUCUGCUUUACAGCAGCAACCAUUCCAUGGGAGUGCCCACUUGACUCAGGGUUACCCGGCUCCUGAUAUACAUGCCCUACAAUUUGUCGGGAGCAAUCCCCAGCUGGACCACCAGGGUGGCGAUCAAGGGCACUGUGCUAUUCCGGUGUGGGAUUUUCUAUGAUCGUGUGAAUCCUCAUUGGGCAAUUAUUCCAAUUAAGUGUACAUUUGAUGGCAUUGACAGGUCUCUUUCAAUCCCCAAAACCUUGGUUGGAGGUCUAUUGUAGCAUGGAAGGAAAAGUUUUUCUUUAUUGGAUGUCUGUAAUUUAUCUUGUCACAUCCUCCACCUGGCACUCCCGCAGGUGAAAGUCUGUACAGCAAAUGUGAGAGGUGCAUAAUCAGCAAGCAAUAGCUAUAUUUGGAGCGAAAAAAAAAAAAACUGGAAAAAAAAAAGGAUACAGAAAUCAGGGCAUACAGAUCAGUAGGUACCCUCGAGAGUUGUAAGGCUCUGAUUUCCCUGUUCUGCCCUUCAGCUUUUUCGCUUGUAUUUUGUAUAUAGAGAUAAACUUCAUUGUUGGUUCUCAUUGUAGCCAGGAACCUGUAUUUAUUUUCAUGACAAAUAAAUCAGAUCUCAUGUACCUGGAGAUGUUCAUCUUCAUUGACGGAUCACUCACGGAGGCUGCAUGAUGGUCUUUGUUGUUCAUUCAUUUGGAAAAAGCUCAUUUUGAUGAUUUUUUUAAUAUAAUGAUAAAGUUGCAAGUGCUUAACUAGAA